UCCUCUCGCCCUCCCUGAGAAACUGAUCGCAAUUAAGCCGUUGCUUUGCUCCUGCUCAAACAGCAAUGGAAACCUUCCGAUCUUUGAGGAAACGGUUACUCUCAAAUGAAAACGUCUCAACUCUUCCUUUUCACUGCUCUGCUCCUGCUCUCCCGGUCAUACUCUAAAACUUGCUUCAAACUUCACGCCGUCGAUCGCCUCCGACGUUGAUUAAAUACUCGCCGUCGAUGGCUUCCGAUCGACGUCCCAACUCUUCCUCUUUACGCCGUGAGCAAUGCUGAAUAUGAGAGUGUGAAGGAAAAAAUUGAUCCAAGUUGCACCUUCUAUCACUCUAUCUCUUUCCAACGGAUUACACAUCUUUUGGUCGCCAAAAGAUAGUAUUAUGAAUGCUAGGUGUUGGAGAUCAUCAUGGUUGUCCUUAUCGUCAUUUCAGCGGGAAUUAUCUCAUUAUCAAGCUGACUCAUGGUUUCUUUGGUGGACGGUGGAAUUUUCUUCUUAUCUUGAGGUUGGUACAGAAUUGAACAGCGACAAAGAAGACAUAAACCAAUGAAGAUAUGCCACAAACUUGCAUGAGAAACGCAUUUUGUUUGUGGGUCAGGGAUCACAGGCCCCUACCCACAUGUAAAAGCCUUUGCUUGUUGCAAUGAUAGUGGCACGUAGAGGUCAUUCUGCUCCAGUCAUUGAAGAGUGGAUAUGCAUGCAUCUAGUAAUGCGUUGUUUGACUAUUUAGAUCAGGUAACAAAAUUCAAUCAUUCUUCCUUGAGUUACAUCUUGGUUGGCUAGAUUUGGUUUUAUAAUUAACAACAGCGUCGCAUACAUGAUAGCAAAUUCAAUGCAUGAGUCAUUCUGAGUCUAGCACCAA